CCGCUGAACUAAGCAUAUCAAUAAGCGGAGGAAAAGAAACCAACAGGGAUUGCCCUAGUAACGGCGAGUGAAGCGGCAACAGCUCAAAUUUGAAAUCUGGCGUCUUCGGCGUCCGAGUUGUAAUUUGCAGAGGGCGCUUUGGCAUUGGCAGCGGUCCAAGUUCCUUGGAACAGGACGUCACAGAGGGUGAGAAUCCCGUACGUGGUCGCUAGCCUUUACCGUGUAAAGCCCCUUCGACGAGUCGAGUUGUUUGGGAAUGCAGCUCUAAAUGGGAGGUAAAUUUCUUCUAAAGCUAAAUACUGGCCAGAGACCGAUAGCGCACAAGUAGAGUGAUCGAAAGAUGAAAAGCACUUUGGAAAGAGAGUUAAAAAGCACGUGAAAUUGUUGAAAGGGAAGCGCUUGCAGCCAGACUUGCCUGUAGUUGCUCAUCCGGGUUUCUACCCGGUGCACUCUUCUACGGGCAGGCCAGCAUCAGUUUGGGCGGUUGGAUAAAGGUCUCUGUCAUGUACCUCUCUUCGGGGAGAACUUAUAGGGGAGACGACAUGCAACCAGCCUGGACUGAGGUCCGCGCAUCUGCUAGGAUGCUGGCGUAAUGGCUGUAAGCGGCCCGUCUUGAAACACGGACCAAGGAGUCUAACAUCUAUGCGAUGU
rnacentral:rRNA from 1 species